ensembl:lncRNA
AAAAUACAAAGAGGGAAAUUUCCAUCUGUUCCUCACAUAAAGCUAUCAUAUGGCUUCAGAAGAAGAAUGGGAAUGUCAUACAGGAGUGACAAACGUGAAAAUCUCACAAAACCUAUCAAGAACAUGUCCAAACCAUGUUUUACUCUGAAGUCAAAAGAAAGCAAGAAGAAAGUUGUAAAAUGUCAGGACAGCUUUUGAAUAUCAGAAUGUGAGACAAAUUAUUCUUAAUUGGCAUGAAAAUGUGAUGUGGACAUGUUUUCGAGAGAUUAACUCCAAGCUGAACUUCUAUGAGAAAGAAUGAAAUGGCUCUUUUUUUAAUGAAUAAAUGAACUGAGGAGUGAUUUAAAGGUGUCUUCUUUUGAAAUAUUAAACUUUAAGUUUAGAAAAAGGUGUUUGAUCUGUUUUUGAGUCUUUUUUCAUGUUGGUGGUUUUCAAGUGUGAGGGCUCUCUAAGUAAAACUUAUCGAGAUGCAAAGAAGGAUGAGCAUCCCAAGCUCUUCUUCACUUUUCUGUUUAUUUCACACCAUUCGCUUCUCCUAGACCUCAGAUCGUGACUGAAAUUCAAAUGCAGAUGCAAAACAAGUGGCAGAAAUAAUAAACUGUUGGAUCAGUGGAAAUGGAUCAACCAACCAAAUAAACACCCCAAAUUCUUGUUUUCUUUCACACAAGACAAACAAAAGCCCAAACAUUUGCUCUUUCUGAAAUACAUUCCUGUCAUGCAACACCCUUCCUUUUAAUAAGCUUGCAUUCCUGCUAAUGAUCAAAGGCAUACAUCAUUCUGAUGACAUAAUUGUCUGUCAAAGGCAUCCAUUGCAAAAUUAGGUUAAUUAAAUUUUCCGGCAAUGCAUUACACAUCACAAUGGGAAGCUGACACUGAGAGCUUGUGCGUAUCCACGACGAUGUGUCAAGGUCACACAGCGGAAUGCAGGGAAACAUUCCUCAC